rnacentral:ncRNA from 1 species
CACCGAACAAGGCAAACCCGCCGCGAGGCGGAGACGCAAAGUCACCGGUCUCGCCUGUCACACCUGGCAACCGAGAUAGCGGGACCGCCGGC